UACGUAGGGUGCAAGCGUUAAUCGGAAUUACUGGGCGUAAAGCGUGCGCAGGCGGUUCGGAAAGAAGGAUGUGAAAUCCCAGGGCUUAACCUUGGAAUGGCAUUCUUAACUACCGGGCUAGAGUAUGUCAGAGGGGGGUAGAAUUCCACGUGUAGCAGUGAAAUGCGUAGAGAUGUGGAGGAAUACCGAUGGCGAAGGCAGCCCCCUGGGAUAAUACUGACGCUCAUGCACGAAAGCGUGGGGAGCAAACAGG
rnacentral:rRNA from 1 species